AACGAACGCUGGCGGCAGGCUUAACACAUGCAAGUCGAACGGGCGUAGCAAUACGUCAGUGGCAGACGGGUGAGUGACACGUGGGAACCUUCCUCGUAGUACGGAACAACUCAGGGAAACUUGAGCUAAUACCGUAUACGUCCGAGAGGAGGAAGAUUUAUCGCUAUGAGACGGGCCCGCGUCCGAUUAGGUAGUUGGUGGGGUAACGGCCUACCAAGCCGACGAUCGGUAGCUGAUCUGAGGGGAUGAUCAGCCACACUGGGACUGAGACACGGCCCAGACUCCUACGGGAGGCAGCAGUGGGGAAUCUUGGACAAUGGGCGCGAGCCUGAUCCAGCCAUGCCGCGGGAGUGAAGAAGGCCUUCGGGUUGUAAAGCUCUUUUGCCAGGGACGAUAAUGACGGUACCUGGAGAAUAAGCCCCGGCAAACUUCGUGCCAGCCGCCGCGGUAACAC
rnacentral:rRNA from 1 species